rnacentral:rRNA from 1 species
AACGCGAAGAACCUUACCAAGGCUUGACAUCCCAGGAAGGCGCUGGAAACAGUGCUGUGCCUUCGGGAGCCUGGUGACAGGUGCUGCAUGGCCGUCGUCAGCUCGUGUCGUGAGAUGUUGGGUUAAGUCCCGCAACGAGCGCAACCCUUAUCGUCUGUUGAAUUUUUCAGGCGAGACUGCCCCGGCCAACGGGGAGGAAGGUGGGGUCGAAGUCAGGUCAGCAUGGCCCUUACGCCUUGGGCCACACACGUCAUACAAUGGCCGGUACAACGCGAAGCCAACCCGCGAGGGGGAGCUAAUCGUACCAAAACCGGUCCCAGUUCGGAUUGAAGGCUGCAACUCGCCUCCAUGAAGUUGGAAUCGCUAGUAACCGUGGGUCAGCAUACCACGGUGAAUACGUUCCCGGGCCUUGUACACACCGACGCAC